rnacentral:rRNA from 1 species
UACGGAGGGUGCAAGCGUUAUCCGGAAUCACUGGGCGUAAAGGCGUGCGUAGGUGGCGCGUUAAGUGAGAUGUUAAAUCGUGGUGGCUCAACCAUAUCGAUGCAUCUCAUACUGGCGUGCUAGAGGACGGCAGAGGCAAGUGGAAUUGGUAGUGUAGCAGUGAAAUGCGUAGAUAUUACCAGGAACACCAAUGGCGAAGGCAGCUUGCUGGGCCACUCCUGACACUGAGGUACGAAAGCGUGGGGAGCGAACAGGA